rnacentral:rRNA from 2 species
GGGGAAUAUUGCACAAUGGGCGAAAGCCAGAUGCAGCGACGCCGCGUGAGCGAUGAAGGCCUUCGGGUCGUAAAGCUCUGUCCUAAGGGAAGAAUAUUGACGGUACCUUAGGAGGAAGCCCCGGCUAACUUCGUGCCAGCAGCCGCGGUAAUACGUAGGGGGCGAGCGUUGUCCGGAUUUACUGGGCGUAAAGGGUGCGUAGGCGGCCUUGUAAGUCAGAUGUGAAAGGCUACGGCUCAACCGUAGUAAGCAUUUUGAAACUGCAGGGCUGUGAGUGCAGGAGAGGAGAGUGGAAUUCCUAGUGUAGCGGUGAAAUGCGUAGAUAUUAGGAGGAACACCAGUGGCGAAGGCGACUCUCUGGACUGUAACUGACGCUGAGGCACGAAAGCGUGGGGAGCAAACA